AGUGCCGCCGAGUAAAGACAGAGGAUCGAAGAUCUCACUGGGCCCAGCCGCCACCGCCUUGUGCGGCGGCCCAGCCAAGGCCAAGCUCUCGCUCUUCUUAAUUAAAGUCAAUUAAUUCCAUUCAAAGUGAACCGAUAAAAGUGCUAUACAAUUUCCCGGAAUCUGCUCUACAAAAUUCUCUACAGGAUCUUCAAAAGUGUUCAAAUCCCUCAACAGACCGACCGAUAAACCAAGAAGUUAAAGAAUCUUAGACCGAUAAAGAUACUAUUGAUCAAACUCAAAAGGUUGUCAGUCGCAAUGGCAAAUUCCACAAUAUUUCACACCCAAUAACAGGAGAGGGUUCGAUUUAACCACUAUACAGACCAUUCAGGAAAUGUGGAAAUGCUCUACCAAUCUAUCUAAAACUCAGAUGAAUCACGGAGUCAAAGCAGAACGUGCAACAAAUAUGUGAACGAAUACGACUCUCGGCUUCUAGAACAAGUUCGCUUCUCAGAACUGAAAUUCAUUUCCUAAUUUUCUAGGAAGAAGAAAACUCUUCCAAUCAUUUUCCAAAGUUUUUCUUUGGUCAUCAGAAAAUAGUACGUUAGUUAAAAAUCCUAAUGAUUUAUCAGUUGGGCAAUAAUCAACAUCAAAGCAGAAUUUGUAUGAAUCAGAUAUAGGCAAUUCUUAGCCCACUCAAUCAUUGGAUAUCCAUCCUUAGUCUACAAGAAAAAAUAAGUUGACGAUCUACAAAACCACAGCAGUUAUCCAAAAAUUCUUCCAAAAUUAUGACUUUAGCUUAUAAUUCCAAAACUACAUAACAUUUUAGUUGAUCAUAUUUUGUGCCUUUUUAGUUUUGAAUUUCUUAUAAUUUUUGUUGAUGUUUUCGUUAUACAUUUUUGAAA